AGAGUUUGAUCCUGGCUCAGGACGAACGCUGGCGGCGUGCCUAAUACAUGCAAGUCGAGCGCAGGAAGCCGUCUGAACCCUUCGGGGGGACGAACGGUGGAAUGAGCGGCGGACGGGUGAGUAACACGUAAAGAACCUGCCCAUAGGUCUGGGAUAACCACGAGAAAUCGGGGCUAAUACCGGAUGUGUCAUCGGACCGCAUGGUCCGCUGAUGAAAGGCGCUCCGGCGUCGCCCAUGGAUGGCUUUGCGGUGCAUUAGCUAGUUGGUGGGGUAACGGCCCACCAAGGCGACGAUGCAUAGCCGACCUGAGAGGGUGAUCGGCCACACUGGGACUGAGACACGGCCCAGACUCCUACGGGAGGCAGCAGUAGGGAAUCUUCCACAAUGGACGAAAGUCUGAUGGAGCAACGCCGCGUGAACGAUGAAGGCUUUCGGGUCGUAAAGUUCUGUUGUAAGGGAAGAACAAGUGCCGCAGGAAUGGCGGCACCUUGACGGUACCUUGCGAGAAAGCCACGGCUAACUACGUGCCAGCAGCCGCGGUAAUACGUAGGUGGCAAGCGUUGUCCGGAAUUAUUGGGCGUAAAGCGCGCGCAGGCGGCCUCUUAAGUCUGAUGUGAAAGCCCCCGGCUCAACCGGGGAGGGCCAUUGGAAACUGGGAGGCUUGAGUAUAGGAGAGAAGAGUGGAAUUCCACGUGUAGCGGUGAAAUGCAUAGAGAUGUGGAGGAACACCAGUGGGGGAAGGCGACUCUUUGGCCUAUAACUGACGCUGAGGCGCGAAASGUGGGGGAGCAAACAGGAUUAGAUACCCUGGUAGUCCACGCCGUAAACGAUGAGUGCUAGGUGUUGGAGGGUUUCCGCCUUCAGUGCUGAAGCUAACGCAUUAAGCACUCCGCUGGGGAGUACGGUCGMAAGCUGAAACUCAAAGGAAUUGACGGGGGCCGCACAAGCGGUGGAGCAUGUGGUUUAAUUCGAAGCAACGCGAAGAACCUUACCAACUCUUGACAUCCCCCUGACCGGUACAGAGAUGUACCUUCCCCUUCGGGGGCAGGGGUGACAGGUGGUGCAUGGUUGUCGUCAGCUCGUGUCGUGAGAUGUUGGGUUAAGUCCCGCAACGAGCGCAACCCUUGUCCUUAGUUGCCAGCAUUUGGUUGGGCACUCUAGGGAGACUGCCGGUGACAAACCGGAGGAAGGUGGGGAUGACGUCAAAUCAUCAUGCCCCUUAUGAGUUGGGCUACACACGUGCUACAAUGGACGGUACAAAGGGCAGCGAAGCCGCGAGGUGGAGCCAAUCCCAGAAAGCCGUUCUCAGUUCGGAUUGCAGGCUGCAACUCGCCUGCAUGAAGUCGGAAUCGCUAGUAAUCGCAGGUCAGCAUACUGCGGUGAAUACGUUCCCGGGUCUUGUACACACCGCCCGUCACACCACGAGAGUUUGCAACACCCGAAGUCGGUGAGGUAACCGUAAGGAGCCAGCCGCCGAAGGUGGGGCAGAUGAUUGGGGUGAAGUCGUAACAAGGUAACC
rnacentral:rRNA from 1 species